ensembl:lncRNA
CACACAUACAAACAUGCAUGAACACACACACAGGCACACAUGCAUGCACACAUGCACACACACAUACAAACAUGCACACACACAUAUACACAUGCACAGACAGGUAAAUGUGCACACACACAUACACACAGGCACACACACAUGCACACAUGUGCACACACACAUACAAACAUGCACACAUAUACACACAUACACACAUACACACAGGCACACAUGCACACAUGCACACACAUACAAACAUGCACACACAUACACACAUGCAAACACAGGUACACACACACAUACAAACGUGCACACACACAUACAAACACACACACACUCACCAGUGACUAUGUGGCUAAUGGAUCUUAUUUGUGUUUGUAUUUAUUGAUUUAUUCUUGAGACAGUGUCACACUCCUUAGCCUAGUCUGACCUUGAACUUGUGGUAAUCCUCCUGUUGCAGCCUGCAGGAAUGAAGCAUCACUUCCUGUUGAAUCUGUGUUCACUUAUGCAUGUAUUUCUCUAUCAGCUUGUUUAUUUUUGAUGACGUAGGGUCCCGUCUGUCUCAGGCUGACCUUGAACUUGUUAUGUAGCCCAGGUUGAUCCUCUUGCCUCUUUCCUUCCAAAUGCUAGGAUUGCAGGGGUUUAUAACCAUGGACUCCAGCGACACAAUUAAUUAGCGCAUGGUAAUUAUGCUCGUGUUUAUGAUCAGAUUUGACAGAUGUCGUGUUAGAAGUUGAGCCCGAGGCUUCUUGCAUGGUAGGCAAGCACUCUGCCUACUGAAUUACAGUUCCGGCCCUUGACUUUCCAGAAAACUCUAUUUCAAUUCCCUUUUGCUCACUGCCAAAAUGUCUUUCUACUUUUCUAACCGUUUCUUUUUGUUAUAUGCUUGCUUGCUUAUUUAUUUGUUUAUUUGUUUGUCUAUCUAUUUAUUUAUGAGACAGAGUCUCUCUAUGUAUUUCUGACUGUCCUGAAACUCGCUGUUUAGAUCAGGUUAGCCUCAAACUCACAAAGAUCUACCUGCCUCUGCCUUCUGAGAGCUGGGGUUAAAGGGGUGUGGCACCACUGCCCAACUGUUAUGUGUAUAUGGUGGUUGAAUAUGCUUGGCACAGGGGGUGGCACUACUAGGGCCUUGUUGGAGUAGGUGUGACCUUGUUGAAGGAAGUGUGUCACUGUGGGAGUGGGCUUUGAGACCCUUCUCCUAACUGCCUGGGAGACAAUCUUCUGGUAGCCUUCAGAUCAAAAUGUAGAACUCUCAGCUCCUUCUGCACCAUGCCUGCCUGAACAUUCCCAUGCUUUCUGCCAUGAUGGUAAUGAACUGAACCUCAGAAUCUGUAAGCCAGCCCCAAUUAAAUGUUGUCCUUUAUAAGGGUUGCCUUGGUCAUAGUAUCUCUUCACAGCAAUAAAACCCAAGCUAAAAUGUUGUGGUUUGCCCUGAAGUUAUCUGUAUUUUGAUGCUAAUUCCACUGCCCCAAGGACAGCGGCCCAGUCACAUACUCAGGAAUCAGGUGACUUCACCAGAACCUCCCCAUUGAAUUUGUAAAGUACAGGUGACGGCGGGAGAGAAGUUUGAAGGAAGAGGAGGAGACUAGAACAGAGAAAGGAGAGACAGGAGGAAGAGAGAGGAGAGAAGCCAUGGCAGGUGAUGUUAAGAUUCUGUUCUGUGUAUUUAUAGGUUGUUAUUAAUGUUCCUAGGGAUGGAUGGUACUGGACUUUGUAUGAUUAAGUGGGCAAUUAUAUCUUAUCAAUUGGGUCAAAGAUUAUUGAAUUGUGUGUUCUUUUAUGUGAAGGUUUGAGUGUAGGAAAGUGUGCGGCUGGGAUUGUUUCUGCCAAGAUAUCUAGCAGAUAUCUUGGGGCACCGUGGUGUGGACCUAGCGGGGAAAAAAUACCAACAAUAUACUAUUUUAUUUUUAUAUUUUUACAACAACACUAAAAGUGUGCAUUUUUAUGUGUGUGCACAUUGUGUGCAUGUGUGCAGGGCAGGUUGACCUUGGGUGUGUUUCUCACUCACUGUUCACAUUACUUUUCGAGAAAGAAUCUCUCACUGACUCCAGAACGCUCUGAUUUGGCUAGAUUGGUUAACCGGCAAGCUCUAAGGGUCUGUGAGUCUCUGCCUUCCAGCUCUGGGAUUACAGGUGCAUGCCUUAAAGACACGUGUGCAUGUUUUGUGGCAUUAUGUUCAAGGGUGGUAAUUUCUAUUUUGAAUUUUUAAAGGCGAGACUCUCAGAGGAAGGCAGACCAAUCACCACAGCAGCCCACCUCUCUCUGAUACCCCCGUGAGAGCAAUGGGCAGGGCAAGCAGAACCCGGAAGGGAGAGAUCUUCUUUUGUUUCCCUUUUUUAGUAUUUUUAAAUUACUUAUUUAUCUGUCACGUGUGUGCCUGUGUGUGCUUGCUCACGAGUGUCCCAGGGUGCGUGUUCGAAAGUCAGAGGAAAAGCUCUGGGAGCUGAUGCUUCUUCUAAUAUGUAGGUCCAGGGGACCUAUCAGGCUUGGUGGCAAAUGCUUUUACCAGCUGAGCCAUCUUGAUGGCCCGGGGCCCCUCAUUUGUUCACAUUGCACACUGCCCUUAGACUUCUCUUCAUCUUCUUCUCCAAGACAGGGGUUUC